rnacentral:rRNA from 1 species
AGAGAGAGACAUGCGCGCAUAUCAAUAAGCGGAGGAAAAGAAACUAACAAGGAUUCCCUUAGUAACGGCGAGUGAAGCGGGAAGAGCUCAAAUUUGAAAUCUUCAAGGUUUUACCUUGACGAAUUGUAGUUUAAAGAAGUGUUUUCUGCUGAAGUUUUGGUAAAAGUUCUUUGGAAUAGGACAUCAUAGAGGGUGAGAAUCCCGUAUUUGACCAUUAUUUCAGCUUUGUGAUACACUUUCAAAGAGUCGGAUUGUUUGGGAAUGCAGUCCAAAAUGGGUGGUAAAUUUCAUCUAAAGCUAAAUAUUGGCGAGAGACCGAUAGCGAACAAGUACCGUGAGGGAAAGAUGAAAAGAACUUUGAAAAGAGAGUUAAACAGUACGUGAAAUUGUCAAAAGGGAAGCGUUUGACACCAGUGUUGUUUUCUCGAAAAUCAAUUAAAAAUGGCUCGAUUUUGUAUUGCUUGAGACCUUAAAAGCUCACUGUACAUUUUUCGUGUCUUUUUUAAUGCACUUUUCGUUUAACAAGUCAACAUCAGUUUCUUUUGUUGUAAAAGGGUCAUUGGAAGGUGGCUUUCUUUUCGGAGAAAGUGUUUAUAGCCUUUGGCCUCUGCAAUCGGAGAGACUGAGGUCUGCAGCGUAGACUCUUCGGGGUUAGAUACAUUUGUGCUAAGUUAUAGCUUUUUAUAGACAACUUGUUGACUAUAAUUAGUCUUGUAGCUUACUCGCUUAUGCUAUUUUACCUACGCUUAGGAUGUUGAAGAUGUAGCACAUCAU